rnacentral:lncRNA from 1 species
CACACACAUUAGAAAACUUCAGUACCGUAAAGAGAGUGGUAAAGCAGAAAAAACGAAAGCCAGCCUUUGAAGGGCCAAGCACAGUAUCAGACUUGCUCAGGGGCGCUAAAGAUGGGAGCAACCGAGAGGAGCGGUCUGGGAUGUACGGGGUCCCCAUGGCCAAUAGGGGUGGGCGGCGCAGGGAGGUAUAUGUUGGAGCCACGGCCGGGAGAUUGGAGGGCGGGAUGGGGGAGCGCCGGUCGGACGUGGGGAGGGGCCUGCAAGCGGCUGCCCUGGCGGGGAGGGCCUUGGAAUGCGAUGUUGAGGUGGACUGGGAGGAGGCGAGAGUGAUUGGGAGCAUUAGAGACG